rnacentral:rRNA from 1 species
GGCCGCGGGAAUUCGAUUAGCAAUUCGCUUUAGGAGGAGCCCGCGGCUGAUUAGCUAGUUGGUGAGGUAAUGGCUCACCAAGGCUACGAUCAGUAUCCGGUCUGAGAGGACGGUCGGACACACUGGAACUGAGACACGGUCCAGACUCCUACGGGAGGCAGCAGUGGGGAAUUUUUCGCAAUGGGGGCAACCCUGACGAAGCAACGCCGCGUGGGUGAUGAAGUCUCUUGGGACGUAAAACCCUUUCGACGGGGAAGAAACCGCAAGGUUGACGGUACCCGUAGAAGAAGCCCCGGCUAACUCCGUG